rnacentral:rRNA from 1 species
GACGAACGCUGGCGGCGCGCUUAACACAUGCAAGUCGAGCGAUGAAACUUUAACAGACCCCUUCGGGGCGAAGAUAAAGUGGAUUAGCGGCGGACGGGUGAGUAACACGUGAGUAACCUGCCUUAGACAUUGGGAUAGCCUCGGGAAACUGGGAUUAAUACCAAAUAAAAUCAUAAUGACACAUGUCAUAACGAUCAAAACUCCGGUGGUCUAAGAUGGACUCGCGUCCCAUUCGCUAGUUGGUAGAGUAAAAGCCUACCAAGGCGACGAUGGGUAGCCGGCCUGAGAGGGUGAACGGACACAUUGGAACUGAGAAACGGUCCAAACUCCUACGGGAGGCAGCAGUGGGGAAUAUUGCACAAUGGAGGGAACUCUGAUGCAGCGACGCCGCGUGAACGAAGAAGGCUUUCGAGUCGUAAAGUUCUUUUAUAUGGGAAGAUAAUGACGGUACCAUAAGAAAAAGCCCCGGCUAACUACGUG